rnacentral:rRNA from 1 species
UACGUAGGGCGCAAGCGUUGUCCGGAAUUAUUGGGCGUAAAGAGCUCGUAGGUGGUGUGUCGCGUCUGCCGUGAAAGCCCGGGGCUUAACUCCGGGUCUGCGGUGGAUACGGGCAGACUAGAGGCAGGUAGGGGAGACUGGAAUUCCUGGUGUAGCGGUGAAAUGCGCAGAUAUCAGGAGGAACACCGAUGGCGAAGGCAGGUCUCUGGGCCACUACUGACGCUGAGAAGCGAAAGCGUGGGGAGCGAACAGG